rnacentral:rRNA from 1 species
GCGGACGGGUGAGUAACACGUGGGCAACUUGCCCCUGCAGAUUGGGAUAACUCCGGGAAACCGGGGCUAAUACCGAAUAACAUGGAAGAUCUCAUGAUCUUCUUUUGAAAGGCGGCUUUGGCUGCCACUGCAGGAUGGGCCCGCGGCGCAUUAGCUAGUUGGUGGGGUAACGGCCCACCAAGGCCACGAUGCGUAGCCGACCUGAGAGGGUGAUCGGCCACACUGGGACUGAGACACGGCCCAGACUCCUACGGGAGGCAGCAGUAGGGAAUCUUCCGCAAUGGACGAAAGUCUGACGGAGCAACGCCGCGUGAGUGAAGAAGGUUUUCGGAUCGUAAAACUCUGUUGUCAGGGAAGAACAAGUACGGGAGUAACUGCCCGUACCUUGACGGUACCUGGCCAGAAAGCCACGGCUAACUACGUGCCAGCAGCCGCGGUAAUACGUAGGUGGCAAGCGUUGUCCGGAAUUAUUGGGCGUAAAGCGCGCGCAGGCGGCCUUUUAAGUCUGAUGUGAAAGCCCCCGGCUCAACCGGGGAGGGUCAUUGGAAACUGGAAGGCUUGAGUGCAGAAGAGAAGAGCGGAAUUCCACGUGUAGCGGUGAAAUGCGUAGAGAUGUGGAGGAACACCAGUGGCGAAGGCGGCUCUUUGGUCUGUAACUGACGCUGAGGCGCGAAAGCGUGGGGAGCGAACAGGAUUAGAUACCCUGGUAGUCCACGCCGUAAACGAUGAGUGCUAAGUGUUGGGGGGUUUCCGCCCCUCAGUGCUGCAGCUAACGCAUUAAGCA